GAAACAGGUGCUAAUACCGCAUAACCAUAGUUACCGCAUGGUAGCUAUGUAAAAGGUGGCUAUGCUACCGCUUUUGGAUGGGCCCGCGGCGCAUUAGCUAGUUGGUGGGGUAAAGGCUUACCAAGGCAAUGAUGCGUAGCCGAACUGAGAGGUUGAUCGGCCACAUUGGGACUGAGACACGGCCCAAACUCCUACGGGAGGCAGCAGUAGGGAAUCUUCCACAAUGGGCGAAAGCCUGAUGGAGCAACGCCGCGUGGGUGAAGAAGGUCUUCGGAUCGUAAAACCCUGUUGUUAGAGAAGAAAGUGCGUGAGAGUAACUGUUCACGUUUCGACGGUAUCUAACCAGAAAGCCACGGCUAACUACGUGCCAGCAGCCGCGGUAAUACGUAGGUGGCAAGCGUUAUCCGGAUUUAUUGGGCGUAAAGGGAACGCAGGCGGUCUUUUAAGUCUGAUGUGAAAGCCUUCGGCUUAACCGGAGUAGUGCAUUGGAAACUGGGAGACUUGAGUGCAGAAGAGGAGAGUGGAACUCCAUGUGUAGCGGUGAAAUGCGUAGAUAUAUGGAAGAACACCAGUGGCGAAAGCGGCUCUCUGGUCUGUAACUGACGCUGAGGUUCGAAAGCGUGGGUAGCAAACAGGAUUAGAUACCCUGGUAGUCC
rnacentral:rRNA from 1 species